GCACAAGCGGUGGAUGAUGUGGAUAAUUCGAUGCAACGCGAAAACCUUUACCUACCCUUGACAUGUCCGGAAUCCCGAAGAGAUUUGGGAGUGCUCGCAAGAGAGCCGGAACACAGGUGCUGCAUGGCUGUCGUCAGCUCGUGUCGUGAGAUGUUGGGUUAAGUCCCGCAACGAGCGCAACCCUUGUCAUUAGUUGCCAUCAUUUGGUUGGGCACUCUAAUGAGACUGCCGGUGACAAACCGGAGGAAGGUGGGGAUGACGUCAAGUCCUCAUGGCCCUUAUGGGUAGGGCUUCACACGUCAUACAAUGGUCGGUACAGAGGGUUGCCAACCCGCGAGGGGGAGCUAAUCCCACAAAGCCGAUCGUAGUCCGGAUCGCAGUCUGCAACUCGACUGCGUGAAGUCGGAAUCGCUAGUAAUCGCGGAUCAGCAUGUCGCGGUGAAUACGUUCCCGGGUCUU
rnacentral:rRNA from 1 species